UACAGAGGUCCCAAGCGUUGUUCGGAUUCACUGGGCGUAAAGGGUGCGUAGGUGGUGGGGGUAAGUUUGAUGUGAAAGCUCCGAGCUUAACUCGGAAAUGGCAUUGAAUACUAUCCUGCUUGAGGUUUGGAGGGGGGGACUGGAAUUCUCGGUGUAGCAGUGAAAUGCGUAGAUAUCGAGAGGAACACCAGUGGCGAAGGCGGCGAUCUGGACGAUGACUGACGCUGAGACGCGAAAGCGUGGGGAGCAAACAGG
rnacentral:rRNA from 1 species